AGUCGAACGCAGUAGCAAUACUGAGUGGCAGACGGGUGAGUAUAAUGUGGGAAUCUGCCUUUUGGUUCGGAAUAACACGGGGAAACUUGUGCUAAUACCGGAUAAGCCUUCACAGGGAAAGUUUUAAUGCCAAAAGAUGAGCCCGCACUUGAUUAGCUAGUUGGUAAGGUAAUGGCUUACCAAGGCAACGAUCAAUAGCUGUUCUUAGAGGAAGACCAGCCACAUUGGGACUGAGACACGGCCCAAACUCCUACGGGAGGCAGCAGUGGGGAAUCUUGCACAAUGGGGGAAACCCUGAUGCAGCGAUGCCGCGUGAGUGAAGAAGGCCCUUGGGUUGUAAAACUCUUUCGUCGAGGAAGAAAAUGACUGUACUCGAAUAAGAAGCACCGGCUAACUCUGUGCCAGCAGCCGCGGUAAUACAGAGGGUGCGAGCGUUAAUCGGAAUUACUGGGCGUAAAGCGCGCGUAGGCGGUUUGUUAAGUCGGAUGUGAAAUCCCAGGGCUCAACCUUGGAAUGGCACCCGAUACUGGCAGGCUAGAGUACGGUAGAGGGGUGUGGAACUUCCUGUGUAGCGGUGAAAUGCGUAGAUAUAGGAAGGAACAUCAGUGGCGAAGGCGACACUCUGGACCGAUACUGACGCUGAGGUGCGAAAGCGUGGGGAGCAAACAGGAUUAGAUACCCUGGUAGUCCACGCCGUAAACGAUGUCUACUAGCCGUUGGGAAUUUUAUUUUUAGUGGCGCAGCUAACGCGAUAAGUAGACCGCCUGGGGAGUACGGCCGCAAGGUUAAAACUCAAAUGAAUUGACGGGGGCCCGCACAAGCGGUGGA
rnacentral:rRNA from 1 species